UACAGAGGGUGCGAGCGUUAAUCGGAAUUACUGGGCGUAAAGCGUGCGUAGACGGCUAUCUAAGUCGGGUGUGAAAGCCCCGGGCUCAACCUGGGAAUUGCAUUCGAGACUGAAUAGCUAGGGUACGGUAGAGGGAAGCGGAAUUUCCGGUGUAGCGGUGAAAUGCGUAGAUAUCUGGAGGAACACCGGUGGCGAAGGCGGCAUCCUGGACCGGUAUUGACGCUGAGGUGCGAAAGCGUGGGGAGCAAACAGG
rnacentral:rRNA from 1 species